CCUACGGGUGGCAGCAGUGAGGAAUAUUGGUCAAUGGACGAGAGUCUGAACCAGCCAAGUAGCGUGAAGGAUGACUGCCCUAUGGGUUGUAAACUUCUUUUAUAUGGGAAUAAAACGUUCCACGUGUGGGAUUUUGUAUGUACUAUAUGAAUAAGGAUCGGCUAACUCCGUGCCAGCAGCCGCGGUAAUACGGAGGAUCCGAGCGUUAUCCGGAUUUAUUGGGUUUAAAGGGAGCGUAGGUGGAUUGUUAAGUCAGUUGUGAAAGUUUGCGGCUCAACCGUAAAAUUGCAGUUGAGACUGGCAGUCUUGAGUACAGUAGAGGUGGGCGGAAUUCGUGGUGUAGCGGUGAAAUGCUUAGAUAUCACGAAGAACUCCGAUUGCGAAGGCAGUUCACUGGACUGCAACUGACACUGAGGCUCGAAAGUGUGGGUAUCAAACAGGAUUAGAUACCCGAGUAG
rnacentral:rRNA from 1 species